UGGGGAAUAUUGCACAAUGGAGGGAACUCUGAUGCAGCGACGCCGCGUGAACGAAGAAGGCUUUCGAGUCGUAAAGUUCUUUUAUAUGGGAAGAUAAUGACGGUACCAUAAGAAAAAGCCCCGGCUAACUACGUGCCAGCAGCCGCGGUAAUACGUAGGGGGCUAGCGUUGUCCGGAAUCACUGGGAGUAAAGGGUUCGCAGGCGGAAAUGCAAGUCAGAUGUAAAAGGCAGUAGCUUAACUACUGUAAGCAUUUGAAACUGCAUAUCUUGAGAAGAGUAGAGGUAAGUGGAAUUUUUAGUGUAGCGGUGAAAUGCGUAGAUAUUAAAAAGAAUACCGGUGGCGAAGGCGACUUACUGGGCUCAUUCUGACGCUGAGGAACGAAAGCGUGGGUAGCAAACAGG
rnacentral:rRNA from 1 species